rnacentral:tRNA from 1 species
GCCGGAGUGGCGGAAUUGGCAGACGCGACGGAUUCAAAAUCCGUUUCCCGCGAGGGAGUAGGGGUUCGAGUCCCCUCUCCGGCACCC